rnacentral:rRNA from 1 species
GGGAUAUUGCACAAUGGGGGAAACCCUGAUGCAGCGACGCCGCGUGGGCGAAGAAGUAUUUCGGUAUGUAAAGCCCUAUCAGCAGGGAAGAAGAAACGACGGUACCUGAGUAAGAAGCACCGGCUAAAUACGUGCCAGCAGCCGCGGUAAUACGUAUGGUGCAAGCGUUAUCCGGAUUUACUGGGUGUAAAGGGAGCGCAGGCGGCACGGCAAGCCUGAUGUGAAAGCCCGCGGCCCAACCGCGGGACUGCAUUGGGAACUACCGGGCUGGAGUGCCGGAGAGGUAGGCGGAAUUCCUAGUGUAGCGGUGAAAUGCGUAGAUAUUAGGAGGAACACCAGUGGCGAAGGCGGCCUACUGGACGGUGACUGACGCUGAGGCUCGAAAGCGUGGGGAGCAAACA